rnacentral:lncRNA from 1 species
UCCAUAAGGUUUACUUCACUAACUUUUCAAUCCUUCCGAUUCCUUCUUUGGUUAGUGAAAUCCUUUUGCAUUCUGGGUUAUGCAUCUCGCAAAUGGGUGCCGCCUUUUUCUUUUAUGUGAGAGGGUUUAUAAAUGUCCUUAGGGAUGCUGGCAUUGUUCCAACGGCUAGGCUAUUCUUCCAUUUCUUCACUUUUCAAAUGCAGCUAAGUAUAGUAUGUCUACUGAGCUGCCAUUGUCUACCAUGACUUUACUUAGACUUAAAUCAUCCCCGAUGUCCACCUGUAUUACCAGCGGAUCUUCAUGCGGGCUGACCACAUUAUCCAGAUCUUUCUCGGAG